GUGGGGAAUUUUGGACAAUGGGGGCAACCCUGAUCCAGCCAUGCCGCGUGUGUGAAGAAGGCCUUCGGGUUGUAAAGCACUUUCGGCGGGAACGAAAUCGCACGGGUGAAUAGCCUGUGCGGAUGACGGUACUCGCAGAAGAAGCACCGGCUAACUACGUGCCAGCAGCCGCGGUAAUACGUAGGGUGCGAGCGUUAAUCGGAAUUACUGGGCGUAAAGCGUGCGCAGGCGGCUUUUUAAGCCAGAUGUGAAAGCCCCGGGCUCAACCUGGGAACUGCAUUUGGGACUGGAAGGCUAGAGUGCGGAAGAGGGGGGUGGAAUUCCACGUGUAGCAGUGAAAUGCGUAGAGAUGUGGAGGAACACCGAUGGCGAAGGCAGCCCCCUGGGUCGACACUGACGCUCAUGCACGAAAGCGUGGGGAGCAAACAGGAUUAGAAACCCUUGUAGUCC
rnacentral:rRNA from 1 species